UUUACUCCUAUCGCGAGGCAGCAGUGGGGAAUAUUGCACAAUGGGCGCAAGCCUGAUGCAGCGACGCCGCGUGAGGGAUGACGGCCUUCGGGUUGUAAACCUCUUUCAGUAGGGAAGAAGCGUAAGUGACGGUACCUGCAGAAGAAGCGCCGGCUAACUACGUGCCAGCAGCCGCGGUAAUACGUAGGGCGCAAGCGUUAUCCGGAAUUAUUGGGCGUAAAGAGCUCGUAGGCGGUUUGUCGCGUCUGCCGUGAAAGUCCGGGGCUCAACUCCGGAUCUGCGGUGGGUACGGGCAGACUAGAGUGAUGUAGGGGAGACUGGAAUUCCUGGUGUAGCGGUGAAAUGCGCAGAUAUCAGGAGGAACACCGAUGGCGAAGGCAGGUCUCUGGGCAUUAACUGACGCUGAGGAGCGAAAGCAUGGGGAGCGAACAGGAUUAGAUACCCUGGUAGUCCAUGCCGUAAACGUUGGGCACUAGGUGUGGGGGACAUUCCACGUUUUCCGCGCCGUAGCUAACGCAUUAAGUGCCCCGCCUGGGGAGUACGGCCGCAAGGCUAAAACUCAAAGGAAUUGACGGGGGCCCGCACAAGCGGCGGAGCAUGCGGAUUAAUUCGAUGCAACGCGAAGAACCUUACCAAGGCUUGACAUGAACCGGAAAGAUCUGAAACCAGGUCCCCCCCAG
rnacentral:rRNA from 1 species